UAUUAUAGGGAGAGUGGCCGAGUGGUUAAAAGCUACGGACCGAAGGUUUUCUAGGUAGGUUCGAAUCCUGCCUCUCCCAU